rnacentral:rRNA from 1 species
CUCCGCAAGGUUCGUGCACGGGGGGGGGGUCAGGGCAGAGGAUCAGGCCGAAAGGCGUAGUCGAUGGACAACAGGUGAAUAUUCCUGUACUACCCCUUGUUAGUCCCGAGGGACGGAGGAGGCUAGGUUAGCCGAAAGAUGGUUAUCGGUUCAAGAACGUAAGGUGUCCCUGCUUUUUCAGGGUAAGAAGGGGUAGAGAAAAUGCCUCGAGCCAAUGUUCGAAUACCAGGCGCUACGGCGCUGAAGUAACCCAUGCCAUACUCCCAGGAAAAGCUCGAACGACGUUAA